ensembl:lncRNA
GUGCUGGAGGAAAAAAGUGAAAAAGAAAAUAACCGUGGUGAUGUCAAGACUUGUCAGAGAAAACUGCAUUGUCAGGCUGCAUAACUCCUUAAUCCUGGAAUGGGAAAACAAGCGCACACUAAUUUAAACGUCAAACAGAGAAAAUAAUUCAAAGGAAUCCUUCUGCCGAGGGAACUGGACUGGCAGGAGACAGGAAAAUAUGAACGCACCUUCGAUGUCUUCACAAACUGGAACCCCGAGGAAAAGCCAGAGCCAGUUUUCUAAGCUUGCUGCUCUAUGUGUGCCCGUGUGGAUGAGUCGGUGCGGUGUGUCUGACUUGCUCCAGAAUAAGCCUCCAUGGGUUCCCAUGGCAGUGGACACGUUUGGUAAAGUUGUAAGACACUGGCCAUCUGCCUGUCAAACUCGGUCACACCAUUUGCCAAACGAAUCCUUGAUAAAGACCCCUGAAAAAAGAUGGAGAACCCUGUCUGGAAGAACACUGUGGCUAUUCGGACUCACCCCUAAAUCCGAAUUUUUAGCUGAAUAGAAAUAUUUUUAUGUUGCACUUUAUCAAAGGAGACGUUUUCUUCAAUGACCCCAUGGCUAUUUAAAAAGAAACAGACACAUGCACACACUUCACAGGUAGAAAGAUCUUUUCUAAAAGUAUUUUUGGGGCUUGCGUUUAAAAAUGGAAGUCUUACCUGAAGGCAAGAAUGAUAGCGGGAAAGAAAUGUUGCAGUCAUUUUUCCCUUUCAAACCUACUGUCCUGUCGUUGGAUAGGAGCCUUUGCUGGUGCUAGGGAUGCGCCCUAAUUGCUCAGUCCUCAGGUGAGUGAGCAGUCCAGGUGAGCUAGUAACAGAAGAGUAUUCGAAUCUAGCACUGAAGCUGUUGUUGCCAGCACUCAAGGUGCUUGCAGAGGCACAAGCCCUUUUGGGAGCUGCCUUGAUGGGUCCCUUUGUCGAGUGCUUUCAGACAGGAUUUCUUCCUUUCCACCCUGCUUCCCCAGCACAGCUAUGCAGACCGAAACUUUACUGAUGGGGUGGAAUUCAUCACCGCACUUUCAAAGAGAAGGUGGAAGACACUGAAAUCAUUUAUAAGUGAGAAUGGAGGAAAGUUAAUGGCAUGAACUUUAAUUAUCCUGAACCUCCCAGCUCUCCUGAGUCUUUGGGAUCACAGUACCUCAAUGAUGUGUGAGUGACGAGCUAGAGCCAGCAAUUUGACUCCCGGAAAGUGGAAAGGGAAUUUGAGUCUUCAGAGAAAACUGGGAUGGAAUGAAAUCACAGAACACCAGAGUGAGGGAGGACCUUGGCCAACUGGUACAAUGCUCCCCACCCGUUUUUCACUAUCGCCUGGGAGGGCAAGAAGAGGCCUGUGUAAGGGUGUGAAGCUUCUCAGCAUCACAGAGGAUUAGAACUGUAACAUGCAAACUUCCGGUAAGAGCCCCCCAAGCGGGUUGCCCCCAUGGUGCCCUGCAGAGGCAGCCUUUUAUUUAAAAACGUAAUUGAUCAGCUUCUGCAAAUUCUCACUGAAGGCCCUUAAAUAAAUCAAAAUGAAGAGAAAGAAUAGUACUCUACUUAAAAAAAAACUCACGUGCAAUUCUGAUUCUUGACCUGCUCAGUCCUCACCCCGCCCCGUGGAGUAGUACAGCUUACUAUCCGAGGGGUUUAUUCCUCGGCCAUCCACCUUGCAUGUUUUAUUUUCAUUUUCAUUAUUAUACUUUUGCACUCUGAGCCGGAAACAGAAGGUACAAGAUGUUGUGGCGUCAAUAAUUUUAGACCAAAAUGCAAAGGAGGACUUUUAACCCACACAACUCCAAGUGGCUACGUCAUAAUGAAGAACCUGUGGUGGAAAGGAUGAAUGUGUGGGCCUGGAUCUUCCCGACUCCCCCUGCUUGGUUUUCUUUCUAUCAUUAAGUCAAGAGUGGAUUUCCCUUGGCUGGAAGCUACAGUUGAGUGGAAUUUUCUUGGCCUAGUGUGUAGACACUUCGAAUUUCAUAUCCCAACUAUAUGGGUACAAUGGUGUUCUCAAGGUUGGGUUGCAAGUUCUUUAGUCCCUGACACCCUAAAGCCAUCAAAUGAACCCAAGGAGUGCUAGGAACUGUGAGAUUGAGACCCCACUCGAGACACUCCUGCGGGGACUCUAGGGACACCACUGUCAGGCACAGGCGAACAUCCUGACUCUUCUGCACAGCACAAAAGGUCUUUUUUUUCUCUAGGCGAUAAGGAAAAUGUCUCAAGUUACGUAAGUGGGGAAAAAGGCACUCCAGGCUACCAUAUUUUAGUCACGUAGGCUCCGGCUAGGUCACCUCUGCACAGGGAGAACACCGAGCGAUUUGUCCGCAUCAUUUCCAUGCCAUGAAUCAAAGUUGUAUUUGUGUCCAUCAGAAUAGAGACUUCACGCUGGAGGAAAAUCAUCCAUGAGCCCCAGGGAAGGCAGUGAUUUGACACAAUGUUGUUGAAAGUCAAGAGUGCUCAGCAUGAAAUGCGCGGGCGAUGACAGCAGGAUUAACUGUCUUAACUUCUGUGUGAAGAGAGGAUGGGUGUGCCCGCUGAUGAAAGGCGCCGGGAUGCAGAGGCAGCCCUUCCCCGGCUCUUCUGAGGAUGCCUGCUGGAUGGAGACCAGUCAGAACUCCUAUGGGCCUGAAGCUUAACCAAAGUGGAGACUGAGCAGCUGUGGGACGUCAUAAGAAAAUCAAAUUCACUACUCAGCUGAUUCUAGAGCCGCAGUUUGGAAAAUUUGGAAGCUGGUUUUAUAUAUUGUAUCAUUUUCCUUUGAGAAUAAGAUUUUUUUUUCUGUUUCUUUGCACUUGGAAGAGAAAAGCUGGAUAUUUCUGCUAAGAGUAAGUCAACGAAUUCCAGAGUGAAUUUGGGGAAAAAAUCUAGAAGUGACAGGAAGUGGUAAGCUCUUCACCACUAUCAUUUUCUUACAAGGGCACUUGAAUGCGUACGUUCUGAAGACACUUCAGCAGAUCUACCUGCAGUCAUUUCAGGUCAGUGAACCGUGCUCUUGAAGCCUCAGAGUAAUUGCCAGAACACUAAAAGUGAGACGCACUGGAUGUUUCCUUUGGAAAGGCCGAUUAAAGGUGAUUGAUCACACAUUCUUUGUCUUACACGCAGCUUAUGUUUUCUUAAGCUGUGUCAGCCUGGAGAUUAAAAGAAGGGUUCAAUCAGAAACACGGAAGAAUAGCUGUCUGUCUCUGUCCCCGUAGCUUUGGGGAAGGCCUCCUUCUCAAGCUCUCCCACCCUCCCCAGAGUCCUGGGUGGGAGUUUGGGGAGUCUCAUGGCCUUUCCAUCUUGGUGACACUGUUAUUGUGUCACUGUUAUUGUUUCCUCCUUUCCUGGCCCCAAGCUAGGCCUCCAGUGGCCACCAUCGCUGCGAAACCUGCUGUCCGACUUGUCAAAGCCAUCGCAAAGCUUGUGUGGCGUCCUUGAAGGGUGAUGCUCCCUGUGGCUUCUCUUUCUGUCUACAUGCAGACCCAUUUCGCUUAAACUCUAGUGUCCAUGCUUCCGUGGGCUCCUGGUGGAGAGCCUCUCACUACCAGACGUGUCUUCUCUUCCACACGGAGUGCUGAGCACAGCAGCCAUGUGGUCAAUACCGUCACACACACCUGUGCUGUGUAACUUUGUGUUAAUUCCCUACCCUAGGACCUAGAAAUGAGGCCACAGGGGCCGAGAAAAAAAUAUUAAUGUGAAU